rnacentral:rRNA from 1 species
AGAGUUUGAUCAUGGCUCAGAGUGAACGCUGGCGGUAGGCCUAACACAUGCAAGUCGAACGGCAGCACAGGAGAGCUUGCUCUCUGGGUGGCGAGUGGCGGACGGGUGAGGAAUACAUCGGAAUCUACUUUUUCGUGGGGGAUAACGUAGGGAAACUUACGCUAAUACCGCAUACGACCUACGGGUGAAAGCAGGGGAUCUUCGGACCUUGCGCGAUUGAAUGAGCCGAUGUCGGAUUAGCUAGUUGGCGGGGUAAAGGCCCACCAAGGCGACGAUCCGUAGCUGGUCUGAGAGGAUGAUCAGCCACACUGGAACUGAGACACGGUCCAGACUCCUACGGGAGGCAGCAGUGGGGAAUAUUGGACAAUGGGCGCAAGCCUGAUCCAGCCAUACCGCGUGGGUGAAGAAGGCCUUCGGGUUGUAAAGCCCUUUUGUUGGGAAAGAAAUCCAGCUGGUUAAUACCCGGUUGGGAUGACGGUACCCAAAGAAUAAGCACCGGCUAACUUCGUGCCAGCAGCCGCGGUAAUAC